GAUGAACGCUAGCUACAGGCUUAACACAUGCAAGUCGAGGGGCAGCAUGGUCUUAGCUUGCUAAGGCCGAUGGCGACCGGCGCACGGGUGAGUAACACGUAUCCAACCUGCCGUCUACUCUUGGACAGCCUUCUGAAAGGAAGAUUAAUACAAGAUGGCAUCAUGAGUCCGCAUGUUCACAUGAUUAAAGGUAUUCCGGUAGACGAUGGGGAUGCGUUCCAUUAGAUAGUAGGCGGGGUAACGGCCCACCUAGUCUUCGAUGGAUAGGGGUUCUGAGAGGGAGGUCCCCCACAUUGGAACUGAGACACGGUCCAAACUCCUACGGGAGGCAGCAGUGAGGAAUAUUGGUCAAUGGGCGAGAGCCUGAACCAGCCAAGUAGCGUGAAGGAUGACUGCCCUAUGGGUUGUAAACUUCUUUUAUAAAGGAAUAAAGUCGGGUAUGGAUACCCGUUUGCAUGUACUUUAUGAAUAAGGAUCGGCUAACUCCGUGCCAGCAGCCGCGGUAAUACGGAGGAUCCGAGCGUUAUCCGGAUUUAUUGGGUUUAAAGGGAGCGUAGAUGGAUGUUUAAGUCAGUUGUGAAAGUUUGCGGCUCAACCGUAAAAUUGCAGUUGAUACUGGAUAUCUUGAGUGCAGUUGAGGCAGGCGGAAUUCGUGGUGUAGCGGUGAAAUGCUUAGAUAUCACGAAGAACUCCGAUUGCGAAGGCAGCCUGCUAAGCUGCAACUGACAUUGAGGCUCGAAAGUGUGGGUAUCAAACAGGAUUAGAUACCCUGGUAGUCCACACGGUAAACGAUGAAUACUCGCUGUUUGCGAUAUACUGCAAGCGGCCAAGCGAAAGCGUUAAGUAUUCCACCUGGGGAGUACGCCGGCAACGGUGAAACUCAAAGGAAUUGACGGGGGCCCGCACAAGCGGAGGAACAUGUGGUUUAAUUCGAUGAUACGCGAGGAACCUUACCCGGGCUUAAAUUGCAGAUGAAUUACGGUGAAAGCUGUAAGCCGCAAGGCAUCUGUGAAGGUGCUGCAUGGUUGUCGUCAGCUCGUGCCGUGAGGUGUCGGCUUAAGUGCCAUAACGAGCGCAACCCUUGUUGUCAGUUACUAACAGGUUCCGCUGAGGACUCUGACAAGACUGCCAUCGUAAGAUGUGAGGAAGGUGGGGAUGACGUCAAAUCAGCACGGCCCUUACGUCCGGGGCUACACACGUGUUACAAUGGGGGGGUACAGAGGGCCGCUACCACGCGAGUGGAUGCCAAUCCCCAAAACCUCUCUCAGUUCGGACUGGAGUCUGCAACCCGACUCCACGAAGCUGGAUUCGCUAGUAAUCGCGCAUCAGCCACGGCGCGGUGAAUACGUUCCCGGGCCU
rnacentral:rRNA from 1 species